AACGAACGCUGGCGGCAGGCUUAACACAUGCAAGUCGAGCGCAUCCUUCGGGGUGAGCGGCGGACGGGUGAGUAACGCGUGGGAACGUGCCCUCUUCUACGGAAUAGCCUCGGGAAACUGAGAGUAAUGCCGUAUACGCCCGCAAGGGGAAAGAUUUAUCGGAGGAGGAUCGGCCCGCGUUGGAUUAGGUAGUUGGUGGGGUAACGGCCUACCAAGCCGACGAUCCAUAGCUGGUUUGAGAGGAUGAUCAGCCACACUGGGACUGAGACACGGCCCAGACUCCUACGGGAAGCAGCAGUGGGGAAUCGUGGACAAUGGGGGCAACCCUGAUCCAGCCAUGCCGCGUGAUCGAUGAAGGCCUUAGGGUUGUAAAGAUCUUUCAGCUGGGAAGAUAAUGACGGUACCAGCAGAAGAAGCCCCGGCUAACUCCGUG
rnacentral:rRNA from 1 species